GCUGAGUGUGAGUGAGAGUGCCCGCCAGGAUGAGGACAAGGGCAAAGCGGUCCGGACCAUGCCAGGUGGAACAGCCCAGACCUCAGGGACUCCUUACGUCAGAGAAUUGGGCUUGAGGAAACUUCUCCUCUUCCCACUGGGCAGCCUGCAACCACCCAGGGCCUGGCCUGGUUUUUCCAGUUGGACCAGAAACGCCUGCUGAGGUACAUUAACCCCUGGGGCUCAUGAGCAUCCUCCUUUGGGCCUGAAGGAGAGGAUAUUUCCUUGCACGCAUCUUGGCUGCCCCUGCAAAUGUCAGCCUCUGACCCUCACUGGGUAUGUUCAUAUUCACUGGCCGUGCAUCCAGGCAAGGACUGGAGUGUCUAAGUCUGGAUUCCAGGCCCCUAGGUUUGAGCGCACAUUGCCAAUGGCUGAGCCUCUGUUUUGGUCGGUGUUUAUUUCCGUCGAGCAGGGACUUGUGACCUGCCAGUCCUGCCUCACUGCCCCAGCUGUCCCAGGACAUGAUGGAUCAGAAGGCAAUUUUAAAAAGAGAAGAAAGUGCUAAACCAAUGCACAGAACCAAACAUAAAAUUCCAACCAUGGUCGGAAGGACCCAGUAACUGGGCGCAGAUGGGACUGGAUUUUUUUAGGUAUUGGCACAUUCUAGUUCUUCCCUGAAGCAACGGCCUAUUUACACAAGGCCUGAGCAUCUUAUGCUUCUGGAAGAGGGCGGUGCAUAUUUGCAAGAAGCUCUACUAGAGCCAGGCCCGUAUCGUACGGGGGCUGAAGUUUAUCCAUUGUGGGAGGACCCUCUUUAAGAAGUAAGCCACAAAAUUAUAAAAUAUGACACAAAAUUAUAAAUACGACAGCAGCCCAGGAGCAGGUAUCUAUUUAAAAUGAGAAAAGAACCCGCAAUGAAUUAUAAAUGCUCAAAAACCAGCAGUACUGCAACAUCAAACGACCGAAGAAUCUUAAUUCUGUAAUAUUUGAACUACAUUUUCAGGGUGCGUAUGCUUUGCUCACUUCUUAUGACAAUUUAUAAACAGCAUUUCUAAGGAGGGGAUGGAUGGACCCUCUGCCGUUCCCCAUCCUGGAAGCUUCCUGUCUCCAGCCCUCUGGAACCCACAAACGUGGGGCGCUGGGCAGCAUCGGAGAACCCGAACCAGCGCUGCGGGUGGUCGGAGCGUCCCUGGAAGCCGUUCCCACCCUUCACAGUUAACCACAAAUGACCUACACAUGACGGCAGACAACAUCAAAAUGACUCAUCCCAACCGAAAUGUACCCCCAACUCAGCUUCCCCUCAGCACGCGUCCAAAUGUGCCCGCGGCGGCUGUAGCAUCCACAAGAGCCCUGGGAUAAAGCCAACGUGUGGGCAGAAAGAAGCUGUGGUCCUCAGGAUUGCAGUGAAAAUAUUUCACCUUUGCAAUGUUGGCAAAAUGCUGUGACCGCACGGUCGCCGUCCCAGGGCUGCCAGGUGACAGGACUGAGCCCAGACCCCAUCCUGCGGGUGCCCUCUGUGAUGACCAGCCUCUGCGCCCUGAUUUUUCUGCAGCCUCACUUGGUUAGUUUAGAAGAAAAGCACUCGUGGCCCAUUCUCUUUCCCUAAUUACUAGCUAGAAGGAGCGGCGCACUGAGGCCAUUGGGCCUGGUGUUGGGGGGAUCAACGUAGGUGGGAAGGAGACUGAGUGUCUGCUGGGAGGUGACUCAUUCAGGCUUGGAUAGUUCCAUCUGCAGCGCAGAUUCCAGGGAGGCCCAAAUGGAGAUGGCAUUGAGGGAGGGAAACGAAGGCUUGAGUCUGGAGCUGCAGAGAGACCCGGGGGAAGGUGGAAACGUGGCCAUCAUUUGAGCUCAGAAGCAGAGAGAGCCAAUAAAGCCUGAGGUUGGGCCCGGUCGCUGAGCCUCAAGCUGGUAGCGACAGCUCAGGGGACGGAGCCCUGGGGACAGCAGAGGGUGUGGAAUGGGGCAGGGUGGGGCCCUGCGCUGACUUGUGCGCCACCCCCCAAGCUCAUCCACGGAAGGCCUGGGCCCUGGAACCUCGGCGGGUGACUGUGUUUGGAGACCCAGCUCCUUGAAGGAAGUGCUCAGUUCAAAUGAGAGGGUUAGAGUGGCUCUUGCCCGAGCCCACUGGUGCCAGAGGGAGAGGAAAUGCAGAGACGCCAGGGAGUGCGUGUCCAGAGGACGACCACGUGAGGGUACGGGAGAAGGCAGCCGUCUGCAGGCCUCGGAGAGAUGGCCACGGGAGACGCCAGCCCUGUCCACACCUGGCUCUCGGGCCUCCAGCGUCUGGACUGUAAGAGGAUGGUUCCUCAGGCUAUAGGAUUGCUUUAGCAGCCCCAGGGGACUCCUACAGACAUCCAAGAGAAACUGUGCCCCGGGAGGUGGGGGACAAUCAGUCAUGAGGCUGUUGGGGGCCACAUCAGGUGAGGACUGACCGUGACCUCCCAGGUUGCAUUCUGAAUUUUUGUCUGAUAAUAAAUGGGCAGCUAAAUCUUUGAAA